rnacentral:rRNA from 1 species
UCCUAGCGGUCCGAGUCGCAGCCAUCAUUAUUGGGUCUAAAAUAUCCGUAGCUUGCUGAAGAAGUUUCCUGUGAAAUCCGGCAUCUUAAGUGUCGGGCGAGCGGGAAAUACUCUUGAGCUAGAGACUGGAAGACGUAAGAAGUACGUUUGAAGUAGCGGUAAAAUGUGUUAAUCUCAGACGGACUAACAACAGCGAAGGCAUCUUACGAGGACAGUUCUGACAGUAAAGGAUGAAGGCUAGGGGC